rnacentral:rRNA from 1 species
UAGGGGUCCUGAGAGGGAGAUCCCCCACACUGGUACUGAGACACGGACCAGACUCCUACGGGAGGCAGCAGUGAGGAAUAUUGGACAAUGGGCGCAAGCCUGAUCCAGCCAUGCCGCGUGCAGGAUGACGGUCCUAUGGAUUGUAAACUGCUUUUAUACGAGAAGAAACACUCCAACGUGUUGGAGCUUGACGGUAUCGUAAGAAUAAGGAUCGGCUAACUCCGUGCCAGCAGCCGCGGUAAUACGGAGGAUCCAAGCGUUAUCCGGAAUCAUUGGGUUUAAAGGGUCCGUAGGCGGUUUAAUAAGUCAGUGGUGAGAGCCCAUCGCUCAACGGUGGAACGGCCAUUGAUACUGUUAAACUUGAAUUAUUAGGAAGUAACUAGAAUAUGUAGUGUAGCGGUGAAAUGCUUAGAGAUUACAUGGAAUACCAAUUGCGAAGGCAGGUUACUACUAAUUGAUUGACGCUGAUGGACGAAAGCGUGGGUAGCGAACAGGAUUAGAUACCCUGGUAGUCCACGCCGUAAACGAUGGAUACUAGCUGUUGGGAGCAAUCUCAGUGGCUAAGCGAAAGUGAUAAGUAUCCCACCUGGGGAGUACGUUCGCAAGAAUGAAACUCAAAGGAAUUGACGGGGGCCCGCACAAGCGGUGGAGCAUGUGGUUUAAUUCGAUGAUACGCGAGGAACCUUACCAAGGCUUAAAUGUAGAUUAACCGAUUUGGAAACAGAUCUUUCGCAAGACAAUUUACAAGGUGCUGCAUGGUUGUCGUCAGCUCGUGCCGUGAGGUGUCAGGUUAAGUCCUAUAACGAGCGCAACCCCUGUUGUUAGUUGCCAGCGAGUCAAGUCGGGAACUCUAACAAGACUGCCAGUGCAAACUGUGAGGAAGGUGGGGAUGACGUCAAAUCAUCACGGCCCUUACGCCUUGGGCUACACACGUGCUACAAUGGCCGGUACAGAGAGCAGCCACUGGGCGACCAGGAGCGAAUCUAUAAAACCGGUCACAGUUCGGAUCGGAGUCUGCAACUCGACUCCGCGAAGCUGGAAUCGCUAGUAAUCGGAUAUCAGCCAUGAUCCGGUGAAUACGUUCCCGGGCCUUGUACACACCGCCCGUCAAGCCAUGGAAGCUGGGGGUGCCUGAAGUCGGUGACCGCAAGGAGCUGCCUAGGGUAAAACUGGUAACUAGGGCUAAGUCGUAACAAGGUA